GGCGGUGUAGCUCAGCGGUUAGAGCACUCGGCUCAUACCCGGGGUGUCGCUGGUUCAAUUCCAGCCACCGCUACCA
rnacentral:tRNA from 1 species